GAUGAACGCUGGCGGCGUGCCUAAUACAUGCAAGUCGAGCGAACAGACGAGGAGCUUGCUCCUCUGACGUUAGCGGCGGACGGGUGAGUAACACGUGGAUAACCUACCUAUAAGACUGGGAUAACUUCGGGAAACCGGAGCUAAUACCGGAUAAUAUAUUGAACCGCAUGGUUCGAUAGUGAAAGACGGUUUUGCUGUCACUUAUAGAUGGAUCCGCGCCGCAUUAGCUAGUUGGUAAGGUAACGGCUUACCAAGGCAACGAUGCGUAUCCGACCUGAGAGGGUGAUCGGCCACACUGGAACUGAGACACGGUCCAGACUCCUACGGGAGGCAGCAGUAGGCAAUCUUCCGCAAUGGGCGAAAGCCUUACGGAGCAACGCCGCGUGAGUGAUGAAGGUCUUCGGAUCGUAAAACUCUGUUAUUAGGGAAGAACAAAUGUGUAAGUAACUAUGCACGUCUUGACGGUACCUAAUCAGAAAGCCACGGCUAACUACGUG
rnacentral:rRNA from 1 species